rnacentral:rRNA from 1 species
UGGGGAAUAUUGCGCAAUGGGCGAAAGCCUGACGCAGCGACGCCGCGUGAGGGAUGAAGGUUUUCGGAUCGUAAACCUCUGUCAGAAGGGAAGAAACCGCACUGUGCUAAUCAGCAGUGCCUUGACGGUACCUUCAAAGGAAGCACCGGCUAACUCCGUGCCAGCAGCCGCGGUAAUACGGAGGGUGCAAGCGUUAAUCGGAAUUACUGGGCGUAAAGGGCACGUAGGCUGCUUUGUAAGUCAGGGGUGAAAUCCCACGGCUCAACCGUGGAACUGCCUUUGAUACUGCUUAGCUUGAAUCCGGGAGAGGGUGGCGGAAUUCCAGGUGUAGGAGUGAAAUCCGUAGAUAUCUGGAGGAACAUCAGUGGCGAAGGCGGCCACCUGGACCGGUAUUGACGCUGAGGUGCGAAAGCGUGGGGAGCAAACAGG